GCCGCAACUAUUCAAACCUAUCUCUCAAACGCAAACUCAGCCCUAACAAAACCCUCGAUCAAACUCUCUCUAUUUCAAGCUCACUUCCAUCUCUUUCUUCUUUUUCAACUCUCUCAUUCAAUGCAGCUCCCUCCUUUUCUCAGCCACAACUCCUCUGGCUGAUGUCAAUUUUGAUUCAUGGUUAUUUUGUUCUUGAGUUUUUAUCAUCUAGGCAUUGAUUAUUUUUUGGCCCCCUUUCUGGGCAUUUGAUUUUCAGGACUGAAUUGAAGAAUUUGGAUCGUUUUCCGUUUCUGAUCUUGGACGAAUUUGGAUCCUUUUCCGUUUCUGAUGUUGGACGAUUUUUCAGUGGUUUAAGGGCGGAGUUGUGGCUGUUUGCAAAGUAGGAGUUUUUUUGUCGUAGUGGUCUAAAACUGAAAGAUACUAGGAAGUGUUUUGAACUUAAGGGUAGGGAAGAGUUGAUUCUGUUCUACAAAAAAACACAGAACCGCCGCAUAAAAAAAAAAGAAACACAGAUCAACCGCGAAACGCCGAGACAGAGAUAGCAAUUUGAUUUUGAGGGUCCUUCACCAUUCUCUUUGAUUUUCGGGUUGUGGCCUACUUCCUCUCAAAAGUGGGGUUUUUCAAACUUGGGCUUCUUCACAGUUCUACUUUCAUUUUUGGAUAAAGAGCUGCAUACUUAAUUGCAUCGACUCAAGGUAGGAAGCUUAAGAUGGGGGAGCUUUAAUUGUAGAGCACUGAGAAGAAUGAAGCAAUCCAAGAGAGACUCUUUGUGAUACAGUGUAGAGUCAACAACAAUAUGCUUGCACCUGUUUUCUCAUAUUAAUUUCUCAUAUUUAAUAUGAUAACUUAAACAAGUCUUAUGAAGAAAAUUAUUUUUAUUGAUAAAAUAUUGUUAGUGAAGCUGCCCCCAGCAAUUUAAUAAGAUUUUGUUG